CCUACGGGUGGCAGCAGUAGGGAAUAUUGCUCAAUGGGGGAAACCCUGAAGCAGCAACGCCGCGUGGAGGAUGAAGGUUCUCGGAUUGUAAACUCGUUUUGUUAGAGAAGAUAAUGACGGUAUCUAACGAAUAAGCACCGGCUAAAUCCGUGCCAGAAGCCGCGGUAAUACGGAGGGUGCAGGCGUUACUCGGAAUCACUGGGCGUAAAGAGCGCGUAGGCGGGAUAGCAAGUCAGAUGUGAAAUCCUAUGGGUUAAACAUAGAACUGCAUUUGAAACUGUUAUUCUAGAGUAUGGAAGAGGCAGGUGGAAUUCGUGGUGUAGUGGUAAAAUGCGUAGAGAUCAAGAGGAAUACUCAUUGCGAAGGCGACCUGCUAGAACAUAACUGACGCUGAUGCGCGAAAGCGUGGGGAGCAAACAGGAUUAGAUACCCUGGUAGUC
rnacentral:rRNA from 1 species